AUAUAAGAGAUUACUUAAAUGUGUUACUUUCUUUAAGCCUACCCACAGAGAAAAAAAAAAAAAAAAAAAAAAAAAAAAAAAAAAAUAUGUCUAUCUGUUACAUUUUCACUUGCUUAGCUGGCAAACUGAUUUGAAUGAAAUUUGGUAUAAGAUAUAAAUUAGGCCUGAGAGCAGAGGGCCACAAUGAUUUUUAAAUUGCAGAAAAAUCCAUGGUUCCAGCAGAAUUUGUAAAAAAUAGAAUUUAAAAUUUUGGUGACAUUGUUACAUUUAAAGUAUCAAAACUGUUUACCAUCUUUAAGUAUUCAUAAUAUAUGCAGUAUAGUCAUCAAAUGAACAUUGCUAGAUGGACAUGUAAUAAUCACAAGUUUUCAGACUUGACGUCACAAAGCCAUUCUCAUCUACGUGACUGUCAUUAGUUACUCCAUGUAUAUUAUCUCAUAUACUUUGUACAUUAAGUACUUCAUAGAAGCUACAUUGUUGUUAAUUCAUUGUAAUGUUAUUACUGGAUGUGUUGCUAUGUAUUAACUAGUUUUAUUAGUUUGUGUUGUCUACUGAGUAACUAUGCCAAUUUAUGUCUCCAGAGGUUACCUACAACAUUGUUUCUGUGAAUGUGAAUAAAUAACAAUAAUUGAUUUAUUAAAUUAGCCCAAAACUUUGUCAACUCCAACUCCAAUGCCUUGCCAACUCUUUAGUUUCAGGAUAAAAUGUCUCUGUCCUAUUCCAGACUAAUUUGUGUCAAUACCAAAUUUCACAAUUGAUAAUACUGUUUAGUAGUUGGUGCAUGACUGAGUAACAAACAUACUUUCAUAAAAACUUUUACAUUUAUAAUAUUGUACAAUACUAUAUUGAUGUGUUAUUGUAUUGAACUCUUCUAGCAAUGUGCUCCAGCUUCACCAUUAUGAGGCUGAAUUUUCAAUAAUCCAUUUAUUUUGAAAAUUCAGCCUCAUAAUGUCUUUUGUGUGUGCCCAUCAAUCUGCAUUAAAGCAGUACAGUGGGAUUACUAAGAGAGGAAAAUGGAAGCUAAAACGCCCUUUCAGCUUCCUGGUGUGUCACCAUAGAUUGCAUAAUUGAUCAGCAGGCUGAUUAUGUAUCUCGACGUAUCACUUCUAACUGUGUAACGCAAAGCUAAAUUGAACACUAGAGUGUUUUUGCAAUUCCGAUUAUGUAAGACAAAAGACAGCCACAAUGCCUAGUGAUAUCGUUCUAGGCGCAAAAUUUUAUCGACAUUAUGCGACUAAAUAAAAUACACCCUUUCCCGGUACUACUUACUACGGGUGCGGCAUACUUUUGCACAUAUACGCAUUAUACUUGAUUUUGCUGUUUGUCUGUGGUGAAGUGAAGUGCCAUAGUUUCUUUGUUGGUAAACAAAGCCGUAUUAAAAUAUUAAUAAAAAAAUUGGUUUCGUUGGAUCAAAGUACUUGCUACAGCUAGUUUUUUGUUUUCAAUAGAAGUAAUUAAUUAAUCAUUUUAUCGUAUACAUUUUUAUUAGUGUUAAUAGUUAAUUUAUCAAAGUAAACGGCCACUUUUACAUAAAACAUUAUCUACACGAAAGUUCUUCAAAGUUUUAUCGUCUGCCUAUGAUUAAUUUAAUGGUCGUUGUGAUAAUAUGUAAAGUAUAUUGUAUAGUGUUUUGUUUAUUAAAGUUCAUCGCUUGCAACUAAAGAUGUCCGGGAAACUCAAUGAUCGCCUUGGCUUGGAUCAAACUUGGCGAUGGGUUGUUUUGGAGGGCCUUUGGAAAGUCAGGCUACUAAAUAAACCUUCCGUGUUCGCGUCUGCCAGUGGCGUUGUAUCAACAUGAAGAUGUGUGCUCUAAACUUUGAGUGCCAGGGACUGACUAUGGAAGUCUCCAUGUCGCUGGUCACCAUUGAGGUGCAAAACACCUUGAAAAAAUUGGUGAUUCUGAAUCCUUCAUCUCUAUGAACGAUUCAUGAAGAAAGAAUUAAACAAACAUUUAAUGAACAGAUUUUUUAUAAGAUUAUUAUCAAUAAUGACAUUGCAUAUGAGAGAAAAUUGUCAAAUAUAAUUUCAUUUUAAUUUAAUAUAGUUAAUUAUGACAUCACUGUAUAUAAAGAAUAUGAUUAUUAUCAUUUGGUUAAUUUCAGUAUUACAUAGUAUUAGAUAAAAAUUUUAUUGUAAAAUUGCACAUCAAAAUAUGUUUUAUUAUCUAUUAUUAGGAGGAAAUAUUAUUUAACUAUUAUUAUUAUCCCUAAUAGCCCAGUGAAUGUGACCUCUGCCUCCAAUUCCGGAGGGUGUGGGUUCGAACCCGUUCCGGGGCACGCACCUCCAACUUUUCAGUUGUGUGCAUUUUAAGAAACUAAAUAUCACGUGUCUCAAACAGUGAAGGAAAACAUCGUGAGGAAACCUGCAUACCAGAGAAUUCUCUUAAUAGGGAUGAUGACAGUUUUUUAAAUUGUAUAUAAAUUAAGAGUAUACUAAUAGUAAAGCAAUUUUGUAAAAGGAACAGGGUAUCUGCGAUCAUUACUUUCGGAGCUACAGGGAUUUAAAGAGUCAGAUUUGCGGCGCUGCCGCGGAUCCCUGAAAAACGCCCCAUACAAAAUGGCUCGAACUAAUGACGUCAUAGCCAAUGUAAUGACCGUUAGAUUUGUAUGCGCGUUCAAACAAAAUUACUAAUAUCUUUGUUAUUUGUGCGUUUAUGCUUAUAGUUCAUAUAUUAAAAAAUGUCACAUUUAAUGUAAGGAAGCUAAAACUGUAUGAAUUUUCAUCUAAUUACGAUAAAAUAUUUUUAAUAGAUUUUGAAAUUUUAUAAUCUCAUUUAUUUUGCAAAUAUCCAGACAAUCUUUGCUUUUUAUGUAUAAAUUAGUUAACAUUGACCCUAUUUACCCGAAUGUAUCAUAAAAAUCAAUAUAUUCAAACCUAGUCAUCAUCCCCAUUCUCUGCAUAUGUGAUGUCUGCCAAUGUAAUCCAAAUAUGCUGGCCCAUAUUCGGCUCCUGUCAGAAUAAGAAGGGUUAGGCAUUGGCCUUCCCUUACCUUAUCAGCCGAUAGACGUCCACUGCUGGACAUAGGCCUCUUACAUGGACCUCCAAGCACAACGACCUUAAGCCGCGAACAUCCAACCAACCGACCAACCACGCUUUCCAGUGCGGGGUCUCCCGAGUGCGGGUAGGCACUAACCCCUCUUACUGGGGGAGACUCGAGCUCAGCAGUGAGCCGAAUAUGUGUUUAUAAUGAUGAUGAUGAUGAUUAUUUAAGUAAUUGUAAAAGAAAAAAUUGAAUACUACAUUAGUUGUCUAUCUAUACAAUUCAAUAAUUUUAAGAACAAAACAUGUACCUACCACAUUGUAGGAAAUAAAUAAAUAAUGAUUUGAUUAAAAACAAUGUUGUUUAAUGUUAAGCAGGUAGGGCCAGGUAGUUCUAUAUUUGUGUAACAUCUAUUACUUAAAAAUAAAAAAUAUAUUUACUUG